AGCUAGUCCAUGAGCCUUACAAUCUGUGUGGCGUUUCACUCGUUAACCAAGAACCAAUUUCAGUUAUCCUGAAACUACAAACAUGGGUACACAUAUUCUGGUUCUCCUACUCACGGCAAAGUUGGUCGCUUCGACAAAGUUAUCUCUUUUUCUUCUCUUUCACAAAGUAUGCAGUGAAUGGGCCUCAACCAUUGACGACUUAGCUGAUGAAGUGAGUCAGUCAAAGUGGGAAAAAAUCUAUAUUCUUUUUGUCAGCGAAGAAAACGACACUACUUUCAACAUCAGAUUUUCCAGUUCUCAGAGUGUUGAUCUAAACAUACCUGAAGCUUAUGUUUACUACGUGGGAGAAGUAUACCAUGAGGGUGCUGUCUUUGGUGAUUGUGCACAGAUAAGUCCGGUAUGCAACACUUAUUUUCAUUUUUGGGACAAAAACCAUUUGGUGGGUGAAUUCGUCACAAACAGUUUCAGUAUUUCAAGCCAGUCACCACUCUAUUACCUGGCAUGUGGAUCACUUCUACAACGUUUUCCCCCGGCGCCAUUGCGGAGACGGAACCUCAGUCUUCCAGGCGUGGAACCUACAGAGCCACAAGCCAGCCGCCCAAGCGUGGAACCUACAGAGCCACAACCUAACGUCAGUCUUCCAGGACCGGGACCUAAGCAGCCCAAAGACCAAGACCACCAGUGUGCAGCCCAUACCAUAGGCCUCGGGAUCGUGGGGGCGGCGCUGGUCUUCCUACUGACCUUCGUCUGCGUCGCCGGUUGGAGGGCAAGGCGCGCAGCGGAGUCUCCCAAACUCGGUGCAGCAAAAGGUCACAGCACAGCUUCCGGUCACGAGAGCGAGAACAGCAUCUACGGAAUGAUGGAAAUGGGCCAAACCAACACCUAAGACUGUGACCCGUGACCUGUGACCUGUGACCUGCCACGACAGAUAUUUGACCCGCUUUCAACCCAGGCGCUAGAAGGUGAUGGAAAUGGGCCAAACCAACACCUAAAACUGUGACCCGUGACCUGUGACCUGCCACGACAGAUAUUUGACCCGCUUUCAACCCAGGCGCUAGAAGGUGAUGGAAAUGGGCCAAACCAACACCUAAGACUGUGACCCGUGACCUGUGACCUGCCACGACAGAUAUUUGACCCGCUUUCAACCCAGGCGCUAGAAGGUGGCCUAGCGCAACGGCCGGGCGCUGGUGCUGUGGGUUCGAACGCUGGACUCCGAGACAGGGCGGAGAGGAACCAGCCACUCGACCGCUUCAUCCCGAGGUCUUGUUCCUCUGUCAAGAUGGCUCCUUCAUCCCCUCGGCUGUGGGACCAACUCUAACUUUGAGCUAAAUCAUAAUGAUUCAGAUUAUUCCACACUAAACAUGUGUGUAUGUAUGUAUGUAUGUAUGUAUGUAUAUGUAUGUAUGGAUGUAUGUAUAUAUAUA